rnacentral:rRNA from 1 species
ACUCCUACGGGAGGCAGCAGCAGGGGAUCUUGGGCAAUGGGCGAAAGCCUGACCCAGCGACACCGCGUGGGGGACGAAGGCCUUCGGGUCGUAAACCCCUUUUCCAAGGGAAGAUAAUGACGGUACUUGGGAAUAAGCCCCGGCUAACUCC